rnacentral:rRNA from 2 species
UUUCGCAAUGCCCGAAAGGGUGACGAAGCGACGCCGCGUGUGGGAAGAAGGCCUUCGGGUUGUAAACCACUGUCGGGAGUUAAGAAAUGCAAGAAUGUUAAUAGCGUUUUUGCUUGACUAAGGCUCCGGAGGAAGCCACGGCUAACUCUGUGCCAGCAGCCGCGGUAAUACAGAGGCGGCAAGCGUUGUUCGGAAUUAUUGGGCGUAAAGAGCACGUAGGCGGCUAUAUAAGUCGGUUGUGAAAGCCUUCCGCUCAACGGGAGAACAGCAUCCGAUACUGUAUGGCUUGAGUGUGGGAGGGGAGAGCGGAACUUCUGGUGGAGCGGUGAAAUGCGUAGAUAUCAGAAGGAACGCCGGCGGCGAAAGCGGCUCUCUGGCCCAUAACUGACGCUGAGUGUGCGAAAGCUAGGGGAGCAAACGGGAUUAGAUACCCCGGUAGUCCUAGCCGUAAACGAUGGGCACUAAGUAGAGGGGUUUU